rnacentral:rRNA from 1 species
GACGUAGGGCGCGAGCGUUGUCCGGAUUUAUUGGGCGUAAAGAGCUCGUAGGCGGCUUGUCGCGUCGACCCGUGAAAAACUCGCAGCUCAACUGCGAGCCUGCGGUCGAUACGGGCAGGCUAGAGUUCGGGUAGGGGGAGACUGGAAUUCCUGGUGUAGCGGUGGAAUGCGCAGAUAUCAGGAGGAACACCGGUGGCGAAGGGCGGGGUCU